CACAGAGGGCACCCCUCUGUCCCAGCAGCCUGAAUGGCCCUUUUGGCCCCAACUUUCCCAUCCUGAAGCCCCACAGGAGAAAAACAAUGAGGAAAAUGUGAAGGGACCCCCACUUGAAGGUUGGCAGAGCGUUGGCUUUAGUUUGGAUGCUCUCUGGGGGCAGGAGGGUCUUGCUUGAGGCAGAGGGUGGCUUCAGGGUUGACUCAAAACCACUUCUUCCAUUGGUCACUGCAAGCUUAUGGGGCCACAGAUUCCCCAUCUGAAUGGUUAGGGUGAGGGUUGUGGUUAGGGUAGACUUGGAGUUUUUGUUGGGGUUGGGGCUAGCACUGAAUUUAGGUUUGGAGUUAAGGUUAGGUUUAGGUUUACUUUCAGAGUUGGGAUUGUGUUUGGGGCUGGUGUUGGGAUUAGGGUUAGGGUUUGGGUUAGGGUGGAAUGGGGUGAGGGCUGGGUUUGGAGUUGGGGUUGGGCUGGAGUUUAACACUGGGGUUAGAGUUAGGGUUAAGAUUAGGGUUAGGGUUAGUCUUAGGGUUGGGGUUGAGGUUAGGGUUAGGGUUUGGGUUAGGGUUAGGAUUUAGCAUCAGGGUUAGGGUUAGGGUUAAGAUUAAGGUUAGGGUUAGGGUUUGGGUUAGGGUUAGGAUUUAGCAUCAGGGUUAGGGUUAGGGUUAAGAUUAAGGUUAGGGUUAGGGUUGGUCUUAGGUUUGGGGUUAGCCUUAGGGUUGAAGUUUGGGUUUGGAUUUGUGUUGCACUUCAGCACUGGUUUUGGGGUUAAUCUUAGCACUGGGGCUAGGGUUAGUGUCAGGGUUAGGUUUGGGUUGGGAUUAAGGUUGAGUUUGGGGUUAAGGUUAGAUUUAGGAUUAGGGUUAGUGUUAGAUUUAGGGUUCUGGUUCAGGUCCGGGUUAGGGUUAGGUUUGGGGUUAGGAUUAGGUUGAGAUGAUGACCACUGCUAAGUGAAACCUUGGUAGCAGAGGAUCGAGUAUACUGACACGAGGCUCUUUGCUUUGCUACUGGAAGUAAUUAGUGCUGCUUGUUGCUCUUAAUUCUUCAUCCAGUGUUAAGUGAUG
rnacentral:lncRNA from 1 species